rnacentral:rRNA from 1 species
UACGUAGGGGGCGAGCGUUGUCCGGAAUCAUUGGGCGUAAAGCGCGUGUAGGCGGUUCGGUAAGUCUGCUGUGAAAGUCCAGGGCUCAACCCUGGGAUGCCGGUGGAUACUGCCGAACUAGAGUGCGGAAGAGGCGAGUGGAAUUCCCGGUGUAGCGGUGAAAUGCGCAGAUAUCAGGAGGAACACCAAUGGCGAAGGCAGCACUCUGGGACGUGACUGACGCUGAGACGCGAAAGCGUGGGGAGCAAACAGG